GGUUUUCAUGGCAGAGAUACUAGAGGAGUUUGCCAUUUCCUUCACCAGCUCAUUUUACAGAUGAGGAAACUGAGGCAAACAGGUUAAGUGACUUGUCCAGACUCACAUAACUAACAGGUUUCAAGGAAGAACAGUGCUAUCUCCAACCAGAGGAAAGGACAGUCAUUUUGGCAACCUUGUUUUUCCACUUGGCUACUGUGCAUCACUUAAAUGCCUGACACCUUUUUUUCUUGGUUUCCCUUUUUAUGAUUUUAAAUUAAUGAGUAACCAUACAUAGGUAAUCUGUGACACUGAGUAGUCCAUUAAGGAAAGCACCAAGGGUACCAGCAAAGCUAUGAGAUCCACCAGAGUCAUCUACAGUCUUAUUGAUAACUCACUGAUAAUAAGAAGUCAGUGAUAGCAGUAACUGAAUCUGGUGGGAAGACCAUAUAAGCGCAAGAGAAUAAUCUGCUUGCCCAGCCCAGCAUUGAGUCAGUCAGAUAACUGUCUAUGACAUGCAUACAGAAAUAAAUUUGGAUCCUUUCUGAAGUGAGAAAAAUACUACCAGAGCCGGGAAAAUCUCUCUUCUCCCAGAUGAGGGUUGGAGAAAGGAAAGUGUCUGUGCCAUAUGGCAUGUGUAUGUGUAAGUUUAGCAACCAGCUUAAAUUUGAAUCUAUUCUCCCCAAAAAACUAUGUGGACAUGUAGAAGGGAAACUGUGUAUCCCAGUUUCUGGGGAUGUUGUACUUUUUGGCCUUUGCUAUUCAUUCUCAGUAAAUAUCACUUUGUAAAAGCUAAUUGGUGUUAAUAUACUAAUUGAUUUGGGAGAGAAAUUUUAACUGACUUAAUGAUUUUGGGAAGCAUACCAGUAGGGGGCUCAUGAGUUAUAGUAUUAGUGAACCCCAGUUCCUUCAGAUUAAGCCUAGAAUCCUGAUGGGAACUUGUGAUUUCAAUGAUUUAGGGAACAUGUGAGUGAGAAAACUCUCUUUACCAGUGCAGGAUCUCACACCUUUUCUGCAACUUACAAUCUUAGAGGGUUGCCUACAGUACUGAGAAGUUGAGUGGCUUGUCAAAGGUGAUGCAGCCCAUGUAUGUCAGACACAAGACAGGAGAUAUUUCAAGCUGACUCUCUCAUCUCUGCAUCUUGCUUCUGCUUAUGUAAAGAUAAUUUUUUAAAAACUAUUGCAGUUCAGUAAUUGCCAUGCAUGCUGCCUUCCAACUCUCUUCUUCACGAAGUUCAAUUUUAAGGUAAUAAUCUGUAAGCCUGUGGCUUUCUUUCAUUUUUCUAUCCCAAUUUAUAUUCACCAGUACCCACUUUCGUAUUAAAAAAUUGCUAAAUAUUAAGAGUAGAUAGUUUUAAUUUGGAGGGUUUUGUCAAAUUCUGCAUAGAGCUGCUGAUUUUCAAUUUUUGCAACAGAUUAGCACAUAGUUGUACUAUGUACAUGUAUUUUUAUUGUGUCCUGCUUUUGCUUGCAUGCAG
rnacentral:lncRNA from 1 species